rnacentral:rRNA from 1 species
UGUGCCAGCAGCCGCGGUAACACGUAGGAGGCAAACGUUAUCCGGAUUUACUGGGCGUAAAGCGCGUGUAGGUGGUUUGGUAAGUAGGGCGUGAAAGCUCCUGGCCCAACUGGGAGAGGACGUUCUAAACUGCCAAGCUUGAGGAUGGUAGAGGGAGGUGGAAUUCCGGGUGUAGCGGUGGAAUGCGCAGAUAUCCGGAGGAACACCAGUGGCGAAGGCGGCCUCCUGGACCACUCCUGACACUCAGACGCGAAAGCUAGGGUAGCAAACGGGAUUAGAGACCCCGGUAGUCCUAGCCCUAAACGAUGUAGACUUGGCGUCGGUGGUUUAAUCGCCAUCGGUGUCGUAGCUAACGCGAUAAGUCUACCGCCUGGGGACUACGGCCGCAAGGUUAAAACUCAAAGGAAUUGACGGGUCCCCGCACAAGCAGCGGAGCGUGUGGUUUAAUUCGAUGCUACACGAAGAACCUUACCUGGGUUUGACAUAGAGAUAGUAGGGAAGCGAAAGCGGACCGACCCUUCGGGGAGCCUCUACAGGUGUUGCAUGGCUGUCGUCAGCUCGUGUCGUGAGAUGUUCGGUUAAGUCCGCUAACGAGCGCAACCCUCGCUGUGUGUUACAAGUGUCACACGGUACUGCCGAUAUUAAGUCGGAGGAAGGUGGGGAUGACGUCAAGUCAGCAUGACCUUUAUAUCCAGGGCUACACACACGCUACAAUGGCCAGUACAAUGGGUUGCCAAGCCGCGAGGCGGAGCCAAUCCUAAAAAGCUGGCCUCAGUUCAGUUUGCAGUCUGCAACUCGACUGCAUGAAGUUGGAGUUGCUAGUAACCGCAGGUCAGCAAUACUGCGGUGAAUACGUUCCCGGGGAUUGUACACACCGCCCGUAAGGGCGAAUUC